CCGCUUCUCUCUUCCAAUGGCUGUGUCUGAAAAAGGUGCACCGCUGACACAGCCCGGCAGGGUUCGCUUCGGCCUCUUGGGACCCCUCUUGCCACGUUGGACGUGGCACGUUGGACCGUCGACAAUCCAGCGCCGAUCCCCUACAUCAGUGGCCAGUGAUGUUUGGGCUCGGGAUGGGGAAUCAAGAGAUUCGAAGGUCUCCUGCCGUAUCCUUAUUUUUGCUUCUUAUUUCUGUGCGUUGGCUUGUAUCACGUUCGGUAUAACAAACUGAGCCUGCGAUAUGGUUCCGUUUUGUCCCAGUGAGAUCGUAAACCUAUGAUUCCCUAUUCUAUUCCCGCGGUUUCCCUUGCCAAAGAAAGAAACUUGACUGCCUCACGAUGUAGGUGGCGCGAGAAAGAGAUUUAUGGGGUAUUUUACCAGUCUCUGUCAUUCUCCAGCUCAGGAUAAAUUUCAUCUUACGGUUGGCUUUGCUCGUUUCGUUUAAUGGAAUGGUGACUAAGCCAAGAAAUUGAUAAAGACUGUAGUUUCUAGCUUAAUUGUUUGACGUGAGCUGAGCUCUAGUGUAGAAUCUCAAGUGGAACGUGGAUGCCCAAGUCUUCCUUGUUGUGAGUGAAUUUCUAGGGCCCAAUGAUUCAUUUAUUGGUAAAUGCAUUCUUCGAUUUACUCCAUUUUUAUGAAACUUGAUGUGCUUUGACGCGAGCAUUGUUUUGAUGCAGUCAAGGAUGUAUGUAAUGUGUAUCAAGUAAAAUACAAUUCUGAGAAUAAGCUGUCUUAGAUAUUAUUGAGGCUUGUGUGAUGAAUCUUCAUUGGCAAUUCUCAAAUGACUUUUACCAUUGUUAUUUUAUCAUUGUGAAUUUCAAAUAAGCAUAGUUGUAGUUAUAAAUGCAGGGCUCAGCCAUCACAGCUGACUGGGUCUCCUUGUUUAAACGAGGACUAUUUGAUUUAACAAAGAGCAUUUUUCUCUGUUAAAAGUACACUCAGACAUCUGAAAGCUUGGUCAAAAUACCUUAAAAAGUAUGUAACAUUAGGCUUCUUGUUGUUGCUUCAUGUUCUUGAUUGCUUUUUGCUUCCUGACUUGUUAGAGGAACAUCGUCCUGGGUAAAGCUAUAACAGGACUUCAUUGUAGAAAAAAAAUUCUGAGCCAAUUAUUUCUUGGAUCUGAUAAAUUGUAGUUUGGAUCUAACUAAGGCUGGGAUAUGAUCCAGGUUAGGAAGUGUCUCAGGGGCAGAUGUGGCUGAUUUAUGAAAAUGAAUCAGGCUACAAAUAGGUAAAGCAGGUAGAAAUCAGGCUCAGAUCUGAUCCAUUCUCGGGUGUGACUCAGUUUAAGAUAUGACGUCAGCUGAGAUCUUACUCGUAAAGAUCUGAGUCAGUCUUGGAUACCAUUCCGUCAGGUCGAGAUAUGAGUCACAUUCAGACACUAGUCAAUCUCAAAUGUGACUCGGGAGUGGAUAGGACUCAUUGUGGAACGUGACUCUAGCUCUCUUGUAACUCAUAGAAUGGGUUUUCCCAUUCUUGGGGUGGGGGUGGGGGUAAGGUUUCUUGCUUGAUCUGAUUAACGAGUUUUAUGGAGUUAUUCAAACGCGCUGGGUUGAAUCAUUACUAAAAUUGCGUCACUGUACUACUAUCGCUGAUUUACGAAUGUCUGUGUAUAGCCAGGUAGAAGUAAUAGCAACAGUAGUGUGGCCAUAAUUGUUAACUAAAGCAAUUAUCACUCCCUUAUUUGUGUCUUAUUUGUGCCAGUUUGUAAUAAGUUAUUUAGUUUAACCUUAAUUGAAAAAACUGAGCAUUAGAUUUCAACGUUUUUUGAAGGAUUUUACUCCUCGAAAUAAGGACUAAUCAGGUAGUCAGGAUAAAGUUACAAGCAAAAUAAGAUUUUUAUUUGUUUGGGGAUGAAUUUGCUUGCCAUGGGUAGCAAAUGUCCAGCUAGAUUGAGACUCUAGUUAAACCUCCUCCAACUCCGCGAAUGUCGUUGAGUUUCUUCAAAAUUUCAGUCAAAUCUCCUGAGAAUAUGUGUAAGACAAACUCUGAGCUGCACUGAAAGAUUCUAUAUACUUUCCUCUGUCGAAUGCGUGACUUCAUACUUAACAUGAUCCUAUUUCUGUAAUUAGAUGAAAGCGAGAACCUUUCGCAUUCUCCCCAUUAUGGUACAAUCAUAGCUGUCUCUAUGCAAGCUCGCUUCUCUUUUCACCUUGAGGCAAUGUAGACCUUGGAAGGAUGCUCUAGCUUGCUCUCAUUGAGAACGCUAUGGAAGGAGUGCGUUACACAAGGAGUGAAGAUGUUUUGUACAGUUUAUUAUGGAAAACGCACUUGAAGAAUAUCGCGUUUGAAAUUCAUGUCCAAUUUUAAAAAUGUCGAAAUUGUUGUAGCUUAUGUUGGGCAGACACAAUCUUUUAGAAAACAAAUCAGUAACUCGUUUUGAAGCUUCAGUCAGAAUAACAUUUGCAUUUUAAGAUAAUUAUGCAACCCGGAAAUGUUUCCUUUCGUGACAGCGUUAGUUUGCAUGUAAAAUCCUGCUGCUACCAAGAUUGUCUUCUAAAGAUAUGCCCGUUUCUUCUCGGGCUGCGAUUUCGCUUUGAUUGUCUUGUUGAAGCACUCAAAGGGUCGAUGUCAACUGCAGUAAUUAGUUAGCCAAAGAUUAAUGAAAUUAACCGUUUUAAUUCCAUCAUUUGAUCUGCUCACACAAUUUUCUCUCUAACUAUUGCAAAUUUUACAACUGUCGUUAUUGUUGUCACUUAUGCCAGUUGCUUUUCUGGUGGCCUUCUAGUGGCCUUAUAUCAAAUUUGUCGUGGUUGGUUAUAGAAUGAGUGGAUUUUACCAUGCUUUCACUUGGAGGGAAUUCAUUGUUUGAUGUUGUUUUUCAGAGGAAAUAACCACGCAUGCGCAUCCAACUCUCCAAAGUGGAAGCCUUUCUUUGUCUGUUAAGUUACCAAAGGACAUUUGACAUCUAAAUUACACUGCUGUUCUCGUCAUGUAGUUCUGAGAUGGACGUUAUGUCCAGUUGGGCAUGCGAAGGCACACCUCAGGUCCCAUACGUCAGCGGAUAUCGAGUCUGUUGCAAAUAUAUUGUUUUCAAUUAAUUAUAGAGUUUGGUCACGCCAGUUGAGCAGCUCCUGGCGUGACUCGGCAGUGUUUGGCACAGAAAACGUCACCAAGGUCUUGUAAAACAGCACUUGCUCCCGCUUGCGUUACUGACGCAGGCUUGAGACCUGACACCGAGAAAAAAAAAAAAAAAUGAAAAACAAAAGACAAAAAAAAUAAAAGUGAGUCACGUGUUACAAGCAUAACGCGUGCAUAAAAAAAUAGUAAAACCUCACCUGUAGACCUCAAAGAAAAAAA